rnacentral:lncRNA from 1 species
UUGUUACUACCCAACUUCUGAGAGGGGAUGGGAUUCCAAGGGUACAACGAGAUCAUGAAUUCAUCAUUAUUUCUCUAACUGUCCGUGUCGGUCUCCUGUACAAAUAAACGAUAUUGAUUGAUUAAUAAUUGCUCCAAUAACCAAUUUAACUGGAAAAGCAAUUUCCUGGCAAGCAGAAACACAGAUACUAAGCGGCAACAAAAAAGAUAACGUCCGGUCCAAAUAAAUGUAUAUUACCAUAAUAAUAAAAUAAAAAUAAAA